rnacentral:rRNA from 1 species
CCUACGGGAGGCAGCAGUGAGGAAUAUUGGUCAAUGGGCGCGAGCCUGAUCCAGCCAAGUAGCGUGAAGGAUGACUGCCCUACGGGUUGUAAACUUCAUUUGUAAAGGAGUAGAGUGAGGCACGUGUUCAAUUUUGUCUGUCCUUUUUGAUUCAGGAUCGGCUAGCUCUGUGCCAGCAGCCGGGGUAAUACGGAUGAUCCGAGCGUUAUCCGGAUUUAUUGGGUUUAAAGGGAGCGUAGAUGGUAUGUUAAGUCUGUUGUGAAAGUUUGCGGCUCAACCGUAAAAUUGCAGUUGAUACUGGGAGUCUAGAGUACAGUUGAGGUAGGCGGAAUUCGUGGUGUAGCGGUGAUAUGCGUAGAUAUCACGAAGAACACCGAUUGCGAAGGCAGCUUACUAAACUGCCACUGACAUUGAUGCUCGAAAGUGUGGGUAUCAAACAGGAUUAGAUACCCGUGUAGUC